GAAAAUAAUAUGAAAUACAGAGGCAGACUACAUACAAAUGAACAAAAAUGCAAGGUGAGACAGAGCGCUGAACAUAACAGACUCCAUGACUUGAGAAACCACGAAAGCCAGAAGACAAUAGAAUUACACUUAUAAAGUGUUAAAAAAUAAAAAUUUAAAAAUCUGCAUGUUAGCAAAAUUCUAUACCCAAAUAAAAUAUCUUCCAAAAUUGAAAGAGAAAUGAUUACUUUCUCAGACAAAACAAAAACUUUAGAAAUUAAUUGCAACAUACCUACUUCAUAAAAAAUUAAGAAAAAUUUCUUCAGGAUAAAACAAAAUGUCAGAAUUUGGAUAUAUAAAAUGAAACUAAUAUCAUUGGAAAUGGAAAGAAGAUGGUAGAAUUCAUUUGAAUAAAAUACAUUCAUUUUUACUCAUUUAUAAUUGGUUCCCAGAAAAGACUACUGAUAAUAUUGCAGUAUCACAUUGUGUGUUUAAGGCAGAUGGAAAGAAGUAUUUGGAAAUAUACAGUUGGAAUUUUGUAAUAUUAUUUGAAAGUAGACACUGAUUAAUUAAAUACAUAUAUUGUAAACAGUAGGGCAUGAUCAAAAAAAAAAACAAGAAUAACAAAAAGAACUAUACAUAAUAAGUCAUUAAAAGUGGUAAUGUAGAAUCCUUAAAAAAGUUUGAUUAACAUGAUCAAGAGAAGAAAAGAUAAAAUAAAGAGAAAAGGUGGCAAAUAGAAAAGAUCUGGAAAGGUGGUAGAUUUUAACUCGAACAUUUCAAUGCUAACAUUUAAUGUGAAUGGUCUGAGCAUAGGGGACAGAUAUUGUCAUACUUAAUCAAAAAGAGUCAACUAUAGCUAAGUAAUAAUUUAGUUUCUAUAUGAAAUAAAAAUGUAUGCAGUUUCUAUAAAAAUGUUAUAUAUAAGGGUAAGACCAAUUUUUUUCAUAUUUCAGUUUGAAUUGUAGAAUAUUAAAUGUUUGCUAUUAACAUGCAUGUUCAGUCAAUACGACUUUUUCUGAGUUGUCAACACUUAAUAUUAAAAAUAAAACAUAAUAUGCCUUUAAAAAUAAAUUUAACCUAACCUAUGUAUUUAAACUUCAAAUAACAACAACAAAAAAUUCGUGUGUAUACACGCACACUGCAAGUGGCAGAGUAUACAGCUAAACACAGAGAAUUGGAAAAACAAGCAGAUAAUCAAGUGUGUUAUUAGAGAAAAGUCAAGUAAAAUCAAUGAAGCAGUUUGUGGCUUAAAUAUUUCAAAUCAUUUUUAAAGUAAAUUUUUAUUUUACAAAAUUUAGAUAUCCCUCCACCAAAUUAAAGCAAUCAUUGCUUGUGUAGACCAAAACUUAAAUGAAUACGGGAAAAGUGCUUAAUUCUAUGGAAAUAAAAAAACAAAAAGUAGGACUACUCUAAUACCAGCCCUGUACUGAGAACCUAUCAAUUGCUGUUUCUAGACACCCCCAAUAUCCAGUUUCUUGAGAUGCAUAAGGCUCAAGAUCAGUGGGUGGCGUAAGUGUAGACACAUAAAAGAUCACAUUUCAUUGUUUUAGUCAUCAUUAGUUCCAAUUUUUACGACACUCACUAAAUUGUAUUACUGAUACUCCCUUCAGAAACACUCUGUGUAGGAAUGUUCUCUUACAUUAAUUAGCUUCACCAGUUCAUUGGCAGAGCAAUGUUUGGGAGGCUUUAUAGAACCAAUCCAUAUUGUUUUGUGCUCCAUUGAAACUCAAAAUUAUAUGAGAACUAUUUUAACACAUAGUACUCACUUAUUUUAUAAAGCUUGUUUUGGGCCAGACAUGGAGGCUCACACCUGUAAUCCUAACAGUUUCGGAGGCCCAGGUGGGUGGAUCACCUGAGGUCAGAAGUUCAAGACGAGCCUGGCCAACAUGGUGAAACCCUGUCUCUACUGAAAAUACAAAAACUAGCUGGGCAUGGUGGUGGGCGCCUGUAAUCCCAGCUACUUGGGAGGCUGAAGCAGGAGAAUUGCUUGAACUUGUGAGGCAGAGUUUGCAGUGAGCCGAAAUUGUGCCAUUGCACUACAGCCUGGGUGAAAAGAGUGAAACUCCACCUCAAAAAAAAAAAAAAAAAAAAAAAAAGGAAAAAAUAUAAAAACCUUUUGUUGUUGUUGUUGUUGUUUGUUUGUUUUUGACAAUAUUUGUUGGAAAGUCUAUUGAAAACUAGAUAAACUAUCCUUAUGCCAAAAUCUCACUGUUUGGUUCAUGUCAUUUACAUUGUUUCACUGUGAGAGAAAAGUAGAAUUUUCUAGCAUGCCAUGAGGUAAAAACAAACCAAAAAUAGUCUUUUGCUAAAAACUCAUCAAAUAUUUAUAAAGUCUUUAAAAAAGAAAAGAGCUUAAAUGUUUAUGUAACAGAAAAAAGAAAUAAUUGAAGCAAAGGGCAAAGUAAAUAGGAUAUAUUCUAUUAGUGAAUAUUAUACAUUAUGGUUAUAUAGAUUUCAAAGUGUUUUAUUUUUCUAUUGCCAUGUUCCUUCAUAAGGAAUAGGAUGUUGAAAACUUAUUUUCUUGAAUUUUGGCAGCAUAUUCUUCUUUACCAAAAUAUUCACCUUUACCUAAAUUUAUGUUCCCUAUAAUUAUGUCACCAGUCAUUCAGAAAACAAUUACAGAUUAACCCAUGGCAGGGGACAUAAAACCAACUGUAUCUUUAUGGAGUUGAACCAUAAUACAAAAUUAGAGGCCUUCCAGAAUGCAAAUAGAUAUAAAGAAAGGUAGAGACACAUGGGAGGUUUUCCAUUAUCAUACCCCUGAAAGGAACCUCACAUAAUCUCCUAAACUCUUCUCCUUUCUCAUUUUGGCCCAGUUUCCCUAGCCUCCCUCCUAUUCCUAAGCACACUGCCCUGUGGCCUUUGAUGUCUCUGCCCGGAAUGUUUCUGGCUAUAUGCCAUGCACUCUCAUUUAUUCAAGUUAGUGCUGAAAUACUAUUCUCCGGAGAGAUGUUUUCUGUUCUUUCUGUCUAAAAUAAAAUUACCCCUGUAACUCUCUAAUCACUUGCAUCAUUUUAUUUUACCUCACAGCUUUCUUUAUUAUCUAAUUUCAUGUCAAGUGACAAUGCAUAGAUCUUAUACCUUGUCAGAGUGUAAAGACUAGGAGUAUAGAUACUCUAUCCAGUUUGUUCACUAUGAGUAUCUUCUGCAAAUAGAAGGAUGUCUUAUCAUCGCUCUAUGGAAUUUUGUCGAAUAUGUAAAUGAGUGAAUUUUUAAAAUAUUGAGAACAAAGCACCGCAAGUAAAAUGUAUUGCCAUUUUCAUUAUUGUGGCAAGCAAUGCUGAGAUUCAAUGACCAUGUCAUUGGACAAUACCUUCCCCUGAAUUGUGGGUGGGACCUGUCACUUCCUUCUAGACAGAAUGAGGCAACAGAACAUGGGAAAGAGGCUGGGAUAUUACUCUCGAGAUUAUGCUUCAUUAUUUGACAAAGGUGAAGAUAUUUUGCAGACUUAAUUUAGAUCUCUUAUCAGAUAGUAAGGAAAUUAUUCUGGAUAGGCAUCACAUAAUUGGAUGGUCCCUUUUGAAAGAGAGUCUACAGGCUGGAGACUCUUUCUAGUAGUGAUGGAACCCACCACCAUGAUUUCUGCAGCUAAAGAAAAAAUGAGUUGUACCAACAGUCACAUGAGCUUUUAGAGGAUCCCUGAACUUUGGAUGAAACCAUGGCCCGAGCCAAGACAAUGAUUGCAGCCUUGGGAGACUCUUAAUAAAGGACACAGUUUAGCUGUGUUAAGAUUCCUGACCAAAAGACUAUAAGAUCAUAAAUAUGUGUUGUUUUAAACUUCUAAGUGUGUUGUGAUUUAUUUUGUAGAAAUGUAAAAAUAAUAUAAUCAUUGAUAUCUAGAUGUAAAUCAAAAUAUCUAAUUUGGUAUUUUUUACCUUAAUAACUAGCUCAGGCUCCCUGCAAAGAAAACAAACAGACAAACCAGCAAAAAAAAAAAACAAAAAAAACAAAAAAAAACCACUCCUUUGGCAUAGCUUUGUACAAAGCUAAUUUCAAGUAUUAUCAACUGUAGACUUCUCGUGAGUAAUGAAGUUCAUUUUUUGCCUGCGCCCUUUACAUGCACUCCUUUUCCCUCUUCACCCAGCUUUAUCCAGGUAACUCUCAUUCAUCUUUCAGAAAUUGUUGUAUGAUUAUUUCUGCAAUAUAGCCUUCAUUUGCCACAACUCCCUUAUGUAGUUAAUAAUCACACCCUCGACCCCCACAUGCAUAGACGUUUCUCUGGUGAUAGUCAACAAAUUAACUAUUUUAAAUUCAUCUUUGCCUCCUUGAACCCAUGCCUUAAAGAGAGACAUUUGGGGCUGGGCACAGUGGCUGUAAUCCUAACACUUUGGGAGGCUGAGGCCAGCAGAUCACUUGAGGUAAGGAGUUUCAGACCAGCCUGGCUGAAAUGGUGAAAACCCAUCUCUACUAAAACUACGAAAAAUGAGCUGGGCAUGGUGGCGCACGCCUGUAAACCCAGCUACUAGGGAGGCUGAGGCAGGAGAAUUGCUUAAGCCAGGAAGAUGGAGGUUGCAGUGAGUCGAGAUCACACCACUGCACUCCAGCCUGGGUGACAGAGUGAGACUCUGCCUCAACAACAACAACAACAAAGAGACAUUUUGUGUGCUGCAUUGGCAAUUAUAUUUAUAAUCCACAGUGCAAUUCUCUAUACAAUCCAAAUGCUUUCUACAUUUUUUCCAAUUGAUGCAUGAACAAUAAAUUAAGCAAAUCUAGAUAGAAAACAAGAUACUUUUUUCAGACUGUACAAGCUUUGAAGCACUUACACAUAGUUAUGGACCAAAAUUAUCCUUGUUAUGGAUUGUGGAUUUUCGGUUUUCUCUGAAGGAACUUUCAGUGGCUCAGUAAGUUUUUAGGCAGUCUGGGUACACGCUUGCCCAGGGAAAAUGGUGUAAAAACCACCUGUGUACUCUUCAAGUGUUUCUGAGCUAUGGUGUGAGAGGAUGUGAUGUGUGUGUUUGAGAGAGAGAAGACAGUGAAAAACAAAGAGAGAUUCCAUGUGUGUCUGUUGGCCUAGAAAAACCUGCCCACUUAGAUGUAAGAUACAGGCUGGUGAAGUAAUAUGCCCAAGUAUAUUAGUGGUUUUCUUAUAGGGAAUAGACUAAAAUUCUUGCCUAUUUUUCAUGAUGUUAUUUGACAUUAAGGAAAUCUGUUCCAGGUGGCUCUGAUCUUGAUCUGACAGCAAGAAAUGUUGCCAGUGCUCCAAAUGGGAUCUCGUCAUCAAGGAUAUCUGGACUUUCAAUGUGUGGUUAAUAAAACACCUUCCACAUUAACAGGAAAUACUCAAUUCCUAUAAAAUGUAUGGCUGAAAUUGGUAAGCCCAUCUGGACUGUAACAGUUGGCAAACCAUCUUUUUUUGUGUGUGUGUCUGUGUAUGUUAGUGUGUGUGAUAAAUAAACAAGUGAAUGUAAAUCACAAAACCAAAGAACAAAAACAUAAUCUUGGAGAUUAGCCCAACAAACUCCCCAUGUGACAGCAAACUUACUGAUAGUGCUACCAGAUUGAUCUGAUUUUCUAGAUUAUUUUAUCUAACGUGCAGAAAAGGAACUGGCUCUUUGACAGAAGAAUUUCCAGGUUGUAUGGAUAUUUGGGGAUCCCAGGGAAAAAUCAUUGACUUCUUAAUGAUAAUAGCAGGUGACCAUUUAGCUAUUGAAAAAAUUUAAAAGACUAAGUCAUAAACAAUUGUAUUAGUCUAUUGUCACACUGCUAAUAAGGACAUACCCAAAACUAGGUAACUUAUAAAGGAAAGAGGUUUCUUUGACUCACAGUUCCACCUGGCUGAGGAGUCCUCACAAUUAUGGCAGAAGGUAAAGGAGGAGCAAAGUCACAUCAUGCAUGGUGGCAGGCAAAAGAGAGCAUGUGCAGGGGAACUCUCCAUUAUAAAACCAUCACACCUUGUGAGACUUACUAUCAUGAGAACAGCAUAAGACUGGACCCCAUGAUUCAAUUACCUCCCACCAGGUCUCUCCUACAACACGUAGGAAUUAUGGGAGCUACAAUUUCAGAUGAGAUUUGGGUGGGAACAAAGCCAAACCAUAUCAACAAUAUAUACAAAAUAUACUUGAAGGUAAUUUAUAGAAUAUCAAUUUUUCUGACAAUCACUUUGAUAAAAUCAAGGGAUUGCAUUAAAGGUGCAUUAAUUCUUCUAUUGUUGUAUAACAAAUUACAACAAUCUUAGCUUAAAAUAGCAUUCGUUUAUUAGCUCGUCAUCUGUGGAUCAGAAGUCAGUGUUUGGGUUCUUUGCUUAGGUUGACAUCAAUGUAGGGACUUGCUGCAUGCUCAUGUGCAGUUUAGGAUUCUCCUCCAAGCUCAUUCCAGUAUUGGUAGAAUUUGGUUCCUUAAAGUUGAGGACUUAAUUCCUGUUUUCUUUCUGCCAUCAGCUGGGGACUGCUGUCUGUAUCUAGAGGCCACUUUUAGUACAUAUCCUGAUGUUUCCUCUAUCUCAGCAAGAGGGAAUUUCAGUGUAUUGAAUCCCUCUCAUUAUUUGAAUCUCUCAGACAUCUCCUGUUGCAACCAGUUUAAGAGAACUCUGCUUGAGGGGGAACUGAUAAUUACAUCAAGUCCACCCAGACUUGAAGCAGCAGCAGUCUGUAUUUCCAGUAUGAGACCUUAGUUCCUGGUUCUAAAGAGACCAGAACACCCUAAUUCACAGAUUAUUAG
rnacentral:lncRNA from 1 species